GGAUAAGUAUCAUACUUGGCAUAGUUUUUGGGAUAAUUGGACUCAUCGUUCUAAUUAUCCUUUGUAUAGUUGCUUGUGUUUGCUGUUGUGCCCAAGCUGGUCAAAGUUCAUCAAAAUCAACCGUUGUUCAUGCACAUAACCAAGUGUCUCCUGUCGUGGUUACCCAUAGCAACGCUCAAGCUCCACCACCAGCGUACAGCAUCCAAGCUCAGCAGGCAGCGCCACAAACAUACACCAACUAUGCUGCAAAUGAUCCCGGAGUAGUACCACCUCCAGCUCUAUACUAUCCUCCAAAUACGACGACAGCAUAAGUGAAUUCGCUGUCAUAGUAACUGAAUAUAUAUUUGACACUUUCCGAUUUUAUUUUUCACGGCAUUCCGUUUGCUUUAUAAAAUCCUAGUACCUAAAUACGCCUUCCUGUGAUAUUCGACCGCAAAUAUGUUACUUUUACUAAGUAUAUUCAUUGUUAUGACAUUUUCAACCGUUGAAGACGUAAACAAAUAAAAGAAUAUAUAUAAAAAGACAGAAA